AUGCCCCAUCGAGCUCACCAAUGUCAAUCCUACUUGGAACAAGACGCUCCUGUUUCUGCACUGAGGCUGUGUCUUUGGGCCACAUCUGGACAUCAGAGGUCUGGGAGUCAAGGAGGCCUCCCUGGAAGAAGAGACGCCACUGCCAGCGUGGCCUGCUCCCCGCUCAGAGCCCUCCGUGGCUGCCUGCUGCCACUCCGGGUCCCGCCGCCUCACGCCCGGGAUGGGGGCCUGAAUCGCCCCCCGAUGACUCUCCUGCCAACGGGUAACCGGAGUCCCUGGCCGCGGCAUGGUGGCCACGGGAGGGGCACAGCCAGCGCCCAAGGAGGUCCUGUCCCGCCGGCAGGCGGCGUCCGUCAUGGACCUGGCCCCUCUGUGAGCUGGCUUUGUCCUGAAAAGGGCCCACAUGCCUUCUGGAAGGACCUCACUUACCGAUCCACCCACGUUGUGUGCACGAUUGGAGCCAGUCACCCGGCUGGCCCCGUCCUUGAGGGAUGGAUGAAGGGGUGAAAGGGACGGCCCACGAGGCUGCAGGAUCAGGGUGAGAGGUACCCGCAGCAUAAACGCAGCACGGCCUCGCCCAGUCCCCGCAGCCCUGCCAACCUGGGUGAGCCUCUCCUUUGGGGACCAAGGCCAUGAGCUCAGGGAGGUUGAGUCACCUACCCGGGAUCACCCAGCGCUGCACCUCCAGCCUCCGUGAAGCUGUGGCCCAAGAGGUCCCCGGAGGUAUGCUUUUUAUCCUCACCGCUUUGGCAAGAUCUGGUCCCCUUCACCGGCUUCCUGGCUCCCCGGCCUCCUGGAAACGACCUCCCCCAGCCUCCCCUGUGCGUAGAUGGGGGUCACAGACCGACUCUGGCCUUGGGAAUGCAGAAGUGGCGUGAGCCACGCGUGGCACCUGCUCAACAUUCCUUUUGGCAAAGAGCUGGGGGCUCAGGACGGACCGAGCCCUCCGGAUCCUCGCGGAUGCCCCCGGACGCCCCUGGGUCCCUGCGCACCGCCUGGAAGGAGAGGAGGGAACCUGGUGCUCACUCGCUGCUGCUCAUCCAACGUGUCAGAGAGAACACGGGCCGUCCAUCAGACCGUGGGCCAGAGACCCUGUGGGUGCUCGGGAGGGUCUCUCUCUUAAUCUGUGCGGAGCGCCCAGCGUGCCCGCGAGUGGAAGCAUCCGGGACUGAGCUCGGGAGGGCCAGCACCAGGCCCUGAAGCUUCUCCCCCGGAGAAGCGAGGGUCCUCCCUGGAAGGGAGGGGAGGCUCAGGGCGACACGUGGCCGCCACCCUGUGCCUUGGCAGGCGCCUUUUGGGAACCCGGCCCCCCCCAGGGCCGUGUCCUGUGCCCUCUGGCAGCCUCAGGGACGUGUUGGCUGACUCCCGUCCCAGUUUCAAGGGAGACCGUUUUACAGCAGAAAGGGAGACCGAGGCUCGUCUGAGACUCAUCUCCCUGAUUUAGAAAGUCAGCGGUUCCAGCAGCGCGCGGUGGCCGGUGUUUUACGAGGCCCUUUUACGCGCACAACGCAUUUUACGACUUAAGAAAGCGACCGGGCCGCGCAUGCUUUUCCCUGCGCAGGAAAUCGACACGCCCAGCAUCUCCAAUCAAUAAAAUCACAUUUUGCUGACUUUGAGAUGUCA
ensembl:lncRNA